GUGUUGGAUAGUAACUCCUCAUUUCUUCCUACCCACAGAGGAUGGCAACCACUAUUCCACAAAUUGCUUCCACAAAUUUUACCAUUUUUUGUUCCUCACCUAGGUAAGCCAUGUAGUCAUUGUCUUUCAGUGAUGGAGUCAUUGUUUAUUGAAAAAUUUCCUUCCUUUUUAUGGUGGGCAUAUUCCAUCAUUUAUACCACAUUUCUUUAUUCAUCUAUUUUUUUGAUGGACAUUUAGGUUGUUUCCACAUCUUGGCUGUUAGUAAUAAUGCUGCAAUGAACAUGAGAGUAAUAUCCCUUUAAAAUCCUGAUUUCAAUUCUUUUCAAUAAAUUCCCAGCAGAGGUAUUGCUGGUUCUCAUAUGAUAGAAUUAUUUAUAAUUUUGAAAGGAACCUUCACCCAUUUUCCAUGGCAGCUCCACCAUGUUGUAUUACCAACAGUGUAGAAGUAUUGCCAUUUCUCCUCAUCCUCACCAAAACUUUUCCUCUCUUGUUUGUUGAUAAUCCAUAUCCUGACAGGCUUGAGGUGGUAUUUCCUUGUAGUUUUGAUUUGCAUUUCCCUAAUGACUAGUGUUAUUAAAAGUUUUUCUAAUACCUG
rnacentral:lncRNA from 1 species